AAUAGAUACCCGGGUAGUCCACGCCGUAAACGAUGAGUGCUAAGUGUUGGAGGGUUUCCGCCUUUCAGUGCUGCAGCUAACGCAUUAAGCACUCCGCCUGGGGAGUACGGUCGCAAGACUGAAACUCAAAGGAAUUGACGGGGGCCCGCACAAGCGGUGGAGCAUGUGGUUUAAUUCGAAGCAACGCGAAGAACCUUACCAGGUCUUGACAUCUCCUGACCGCCCUGGAGACAGGGUCUUCCCUUCGGGGACAGGAUGACAGGUGGUGCAUGGUUGUCGUCAGCUCGUAUCGUGAGAUGUUGGGUUAAGUCCCGCAACGAGCGCAACCCUUGGUUCUAGUUGCCAGCAUUCAGUUGGGCACUCUAGAGCGACUGCCGGCGACAAGCCGGAGGAAGGUGGGGAUGACGUCAAAUCAUCAUGCCCCUUAUGACCUGGGCUACACACGUGCUACAAUGGAUGGUACAAAGGGCAGCGAAGCGGCGACGCAUAAGCGAAUCCCAGAAAACCAUUCUCAGUUCGGAUUGC
rnacentral:rRNA from 1 species